rnacentral:lncRNA from 1 species
CCACUGCACUCCCAGCCUCAGUGACAGAGCAAGACGCCAGCUCAAAAAAAAAAAAAAGGAACUGGCGCGAUGGCUCACACCUGCAAUUCCAGCAUGUUGGGGGGCCGAGGUCAGGAGUUCAAGACCAGCCUGGCCAACAUGGUGAAACCCCAUUUCUACUAAAAAUACAAAAAUGAGCACGGUGUGGUGGCAUGUACCUGUAAUCCCAGCUAGUUGGGAGGCUGAGGUAGGAGAAUUGCUUCAACCCAGGAAGCGGAAGUUGCAGUGAGCAGAGAUCACACCACUGCACUCCAGCCUGGGCGACAAAGCGAGACUCUAUCUCAAAAACACACAAACAAAAGGCAACUUUUUCAGCAGAACCGAGACAGACACGGAGAAUGUUUCUAUAAAGACCAAAAGCAAAAGCCCCAAACAAAACCCACCAAUGGUUUCAGCUUUCUUUCACCGAGAGACCACCAGGCCAAACCAACAGAGAAGUCUUGGAGAUUAAGAGGCAACUCUACCUCCCUGGCAGCUAGCAGCAGAAAAAGAAGAAAACUGUUAGAAUACAAAUGGAUUACACAAAGACAACAACAUGGCCUGCUACAGCCUGGCAUUCGCCUUGACACUAAAAACAAGGCUAGAAACACGCAUUGCAGAUCUUCUGGGAUUCCACAUCUGAGCUGAACCAAGCAUGUCCAGGAGAAGGCAGGCCAUGAUGUCACUUUCCCCCCCCACAGCCAGAUGCUUCAAGAUGAAGGCUGUAAACCACAGCACUGUUGGUGAGAGACUCAGUUUCACUGUGACUGGAGGCAAG